rnacentral:rRNA from 1 species
AUUGAACGCUGGCGGCAUGCUUUACACAUGCAAGUCGAACGGUAACAGGGAGCUUGCUCCGCUGACGAGUGGCGAACGGGUGAGUAAUGCGUCGGAACGUGCCGAGUAGUGGGGGAUAACGCAGCGAAAGUUGUGCUAAUACCGCAUACGUACUGAGGUAGAAAGUGGGGGACCUUCGGGCCUCACGCUACUCGAGCGGCCGACGUCUGAUUAGCUAGUAGGUGAGGUAAAGGCUCACCUAGGCGACGAUCAGUAGCGGGUCUGAGAGGAUGAUCCGCCACACUGGGACUGAGACACGGCCCAGACUCCUACGGGAGGCAGCAGUGGGGAAUUUUGGACAAUGGGCGAAAGCCUGAUCCAGCCAUGCCGCGUGUCUGAAGAAGGCCUUCGGGUUGUAAAGGACUUUUGUCGGGGAGGAAAUCCCCAGCGCUAAUACCGCUGGGGGAUGACAGUACCUGAAGAAUAAGCACCGGCUAACUACGUGCCAGCCGCCGCAGUAA